GUGAUCUAAUAAUGAUGAAUCUGAGUGCAUUUGGCUCGAGACUUUUUGUCGGUGUGGAAAAAACCUAGCUACCUUAUUUACUUUUGUCUGACA
rnacentral:snoRNA from 1 species